rnacentral:rRNA from 1 species
CCGAGGGCUCGGCAGUCAUCCGCUUGCAAUAUAUGUUCGCCUUUAACCGGGUGGCUAUAUAAGCAAGCAUUUUACCUUGAGAAAAACAGAGUGUUCCAGGCAGGUUUGUCCGGAAUGCAUUAGCAUGGAAUAAUAGAAUAUGACUGAAGUCGAUUUAUUGGGUUUGAGGCUUUAGUAAUGAUUAAUAGGAACAGUCGGGGGGCAUUUGGUACUUGUCAGUCAGAGGUGAAAUUCUAGGAUUUGACAAAGACUAACAAAUGCGAAAGCAUUUGCCAAGGAUGUUUUCAUUAAUCAAGAACGAAAGUUAGGGGAUCAAAGACGAUCAGAUACCGUCCUAGUCUUAACUAUAAACUAUACCGACUCGGAUUCAGAUGAAUCAUAAAGUUCAUUUGGGACCGUAGGAGAAAUCAAAGUUUUUGGGUUCUGGGGGAAGUAUGGUCGCAAGGCUGAAACUUAAAGGAAUUGACGGUUUUGCACCACCAUGGAGUGGAGUCUGCGGCUUAAUUUGACUCAACACUGGGAAACCCAUCAGGGCAAGAAGAUUGUAGGAUUGACAGAUUGAGAGUUCUUUCUUGAUUGGUCUAGUGGUGGUGCAUGGCCGUUCUUAGUUGGUGGAGUGAUUUGUCUGGUUAAUUCCGUUAACGAACGAGACCUUAACCUGCUAACUAGUACACCGAUGACAAAUCGGUGAUACUUCUUAGAGGGACUAUGUG